GACGAACGCUGGCGGCGUGCCUAAUACAUGCAAGUAGAACGCAGUUGCGAACGGGUGAGUAACGCGUAGGUAACUGCCUGGUAGCGGGGGAUAACUAUUGGAAACGAUAGCUAAUACCGCAUACUACCAGAUGGACCUGCGUUGUAUUAGCUAGUUGGUGAGGUAACGGCUCACCAAGGCAACGAUACAUAGCCGAACUGGAGGGGGGAUCGGCCAAACUGGGAAUGGGACACGGCCCAGAAUCCUACGGGAGGGAGCAGUAGGGAAUCUUCGGCAAUGGGGGGAAACCUGAACGAGCAAAGGCGCGGGAGUGAAGAAGGUUUUCGGAUCGUAAAGCUCUGUUGUUAAGGAAGCGGUACUUAACCAGAAAGGGACGGCUAACUACGUGCCAGCCGCCGCGGUAAUUC
rnacentral:rRNA from 1 species